CCUACGGGGGGCAGCAGUGAGGAAUAUUGGUCAAUGGACGAGAGUCUGAACCAGCCAAGUAGCGUGAAGGAUGACUGCCCUAUGGGUUGUAAACUUCUUUUAUCUGGGAAUAAAAUGUUCCACGUUUGGGAUUUUGUAUGUACCCUAUGAAUAAGGAUCGGCUAACUCCGUGCCAGCAGCCGCGGUAAUACGUAGGAUCCGAGCGUUAUCCGGAUUUAUUGGGUUUAAAGGGAGCGUAGGUGGAUUGUUAAGUCAGUUGUGAAAGUUUGCGGCUCAACCGUAAAAUUGCAGUUGAAACUGGCAGUCUUGAGUACAGUAGAGGUGGGCGGAAUGCGUGGUGUAGCGGUGAAAUGCUUAGAUAUCACGAAGAACUCCGAUUGCGAAGGCAGUUCACUGGACUGCAACUGACACUGAGGCUCGAAAGUGUGGGUAUCAAACAGGAUUAGAUACCCGAGUAGUC
rnacentral:rRNA from 1 species